UACGUAGGGUGCAAGCGUUGUCCGGAUUUAUUGGGCGUAAAGAGCUCGUAGGCGGUUUGUCGCGUCGGAUGUGAAAACCCAGGGCUCAACCCUGGGCCUGCAUUCGAUACGGGCAGACUAGAGUAUGGCAGGGGAGACUGGAAUUCCUGGUGUAGCGGUGAAAUGCGCAGAUAUCAGGAGGAACACCGGUGGCGAAGGCGGGUCUCUGGGCCAAAACUGACGCUGAGGAGCGAAAGCGUGAGGAGCGAACAGG
rnacentral:rRNA from 1 species